CCUACGGGUGGCAGCAGUGAGGAAUAUUGGUCAAUGGACGAGAGUCUGAACCAGCCAAGUAGCGUGAAGGAUGAAUGCCCUAUGGGUUGUAAACUUCUUUUAUAUGGGAAUAAAACGUUGCACGUGUGGGAUUUUGUAUGUACCAUAUGAAUAAGGAUCGGCUAACUCCGUGUCAUCAGCAGCGGUAAUACGGAGGAUCCGAGCGUUAUCCGGAUUUAUUGGGUUUAAAGGGAGCGUAGAGGGGUUGUUAAGUUAGUUGUGAAAGUUUGCGGAUCAACCGUAAAAUUGCAGUGGAUACUGGCAGUCUUGAGUACAGUAGAGGUGGGUGGAAUUCGUGGUGUAGCGGUGAAAUGCUUAGAUAUAACGAAGAACUCCGAUUGCGAAGGCAGCUGACUGGACUGCAACUGACACUGAGGCUCGAAAGUGUGGGUAUCAAACAGGAUUAGAUACCCGUGUAGUC
rnacentral:rRNA from 1 species